rnacentral:rRNA from 1 species
UAGGGAAUCUUCGGCAAUGGACGAAAGUCUGACCGAGCAACGCCGCGUGAGUGAAGAAGGUUUUCGGAUCGUAAAACUCUGUUGUUAGAGAAGAACAAGGACGUUAGUAACUGAACGUCCCCUGACGGUAUCUAACCAGAAAGCCACGGCUAACUACGUGCCAGCAGCCGCGGUAAUACGUAGGUGGCAAGCGUUGUCCGGAUUUAUUGGGCGUAAAGCGAGCGCAGGCGGUUUCAUAAGUCUGAUGUGAAAGCCCCCGGCUCAACCGGGGGGGGUCAUUGGAAACUGGGAGACUUGAGUGCAGAAGAGGAGAGAGGAAUUCCAUGUGUAGCGGUGAAAUGCGUAGAUAUAUGGAGGAACACCGGUGGCGAAGGCGGCUCUCUGGUCUGUAACUGACGCUGAGGCUCGAAAGCGUGGGGAGCAAACAGG